rnacentral:rRNA from 1 species
CAUAUUGUGAGCUCGAUGAGUAGGGCGGGACACGUGGUAUCCUGUCUGAAUAUGGGGGGACCAUCCUCCAAGGCUAAAUACUCCUGACUGACCGAUAGUGAACCAGUACCGUGAGGGAAAGGCGAAAAGAACCCCGGCGAGGGGAGUGAAAAAGAACCUGAAACCGUGUACGUACAAGCAGUGGGAGCACGCUUAGGCGUGUGACUGCGUACCUUUUGUAUAAUGGGUCAGCGACUUAUAUUCUGUAGCAAGGUUAACCGAAUAGGGGAGCCGAAGGGAAACCGAGUCUUAACUGGGCGUUAAGUUGCAGGGUAUAGACCCGAAACCCGGUGAUCUAGCCAUGGGCAGGUUGAAGGUUGGGUAACACUAACUGGAGGACCGAACCGACUAAUGUUGAAAAAUUAGCGGAUGACUUGUGGCUGGGGGUGAAAGGCCAAUCAAACCGGGAGAUAGCUGGUUCUCCCCGAAAGCUAUUUAGGUAGCGCCUCGUGAAUUCAUCUCCGGGGGUAGAGCACUGUUUCGGCAAGGGGGUCAUCCCGACUUACCAACCCGAUGCAAACUGCGAAUACCGGAGAAUGUUAUCACGGGAGACACACGGCGGGUGCUAACGUCCGUCGUGAAGAGGGAAACAACCCAGACCGCCAGCUAAGGUCCCAAAGUCAUGGUUAAGUGGGAAACGAUGUGGGAAGGCCCAGACAGCCAGGAUGUUGGCUUAGAAGCAGCCAUCAUUUAAAGAAAGCGUAAUAGCUCACUGGUCGAGUCGGCCUGCGCGGAAGAUGUAACGGGGCUAAACCAUGCACCGAAGCUGCGGCAGCGACGCUGAUGCGUUGUUGGGUAGGGGAGCGUUCUGUAAGCCUGUGAAGGUGUGCUGUGAGGUAUGCUGGAGGUAUCAGAAGUGCGAAUGCUGACAUAAGUAACGAUAAAGCGGGUGAAAAGCCCGCUCGCCGGAAGACCAAGGGUUCCUGUCCAACGUUAAUCGGGGCAGGGUGAGUCGACCCCUAAGGCGAGGCCGAAAGGCGUAGUCGAUGGGAAACAGGUUAAUAUUCCUGUACUUGGUGUUACUGCGAAGGGGGGACGGAGAAGGCUAUGUUGGCCGGGCGACGGUUGUCCCGGUUUAAGCGUGUAGGCUGGUUUUCCAGGCAAAUCCGGAAAACUAAGGCUGAGGCGUGAUGACGAGGCACUACGGUGCUGAAGCAACAAAUGCCCUGCUUCCAGGAAAAGCCUCUAAGCAUCAGGUAACAUCAAAUCGUACCCCAAACCGACACAGGUGGUCAGGUAGAGAAUACCAAGGCGCUUGAGAGAACUCGGGUGAAGGAACUAGGCAAAAUGGUGCCGUAACUUCGGGAGAAGGCACGCUGAUAUGUAGGUGAAGUCCCUCGCGGAUGGAGCUGAAAUCAGUCGAAGAUACCAGCUGGCUGCAACUGUUUAUUAAAAACACAGCACUGUGCAAACACGAAAGUGGACGUAUACGGUGUGACGCCUGCCCGGUGCCGGAAGGUUAAUUGAUGGGGUCAGCGCAAGCGAAGCUCUUGAUCGAAGCCCCGGUAAACGGCGGCCGUAACUAUAACGGUCCUAAGGUAGCGAAAUUCCUUGUCGGGUAAGUUCCGACCUGCACGAAUGGCGUAAUGAUGGCCAGGCUGUCUCCACCCGAGACUCAGUGAAAUUGAACUCGCUGUGAAGAUGCAGUGUACCCGCGGCAAGACGGAAAGACCCCGUGAACCUUUACUAUAGCUUGACACUGAACAUUGAGCCUUGAUGUGUAGGAUA